ACGACGCUGGCGGCGUGCCUAAACACAUGCAAGUCGAACGGUAACUUUUUUGAAAGAUUUCUUCGGAAUGAAUUUGACUAAGUUUAGUGGCGGACGGGUGAGUAACGCGUGAGUAACCUGCCUCCGAGAGGGAAUAACAAUCUGAAAAGAUUGUUAAUACCGCAUAAUAUAGCGAAGUCGCAUGGCAUUGCUAUCAAAGAUUUAUCGCUCGGAGAUGGGCUCGCGUCCGAUUAGCUAGUUGGCGGGAUAACAGCCCACCAAGGCGACGAUCGGUAGCCGACCUGAGAGGGUGAUCGGCCACAUUGGAACUGAGACACGGUCCAGACUCCUACGGGAGGCAGCAGUGGGGAAUAUUGGGCAAUGGGCGAAAGCCUGACCCAGCAACGCCGCGUGAGGGAAGAAGGGUUUCGGCUCGUAAACCUCUGUCCUAUGGGACGAAGAAGUGACGGUACCAUAGGAGGAAGCCCCGGCUAACUACGUG
rnacentral:rRNA from 1 species